GAUGAACGCUGGCGGCGUGCCUAAUACAUGCAAGUCGAGCGAACGGACGAGAAGCUUGCUUCUCUGAUGUUAGCGGCGGACGGGUGAGUAACACGUGGAUAACCUACCUAUAAGACUGGGAUAACUUCGGGAAACCGGAGCUAAUACCGGAUAAUAUUUUGAACCGCAUGGUUCAAAAGUGAAAGACGGUCUUGCUGUCACUUAUAGAUGGAUCCGCGCUGCAUUAGCUAGUUGGUAAGGUAACGGCUUACCAAGGCAACGAUGCAUAGCCGACCUGAGAGGGUGAUCGGCCACACUGGAACUGAGACACGGUCCAGACUCCUACGGGAGGCAGCAGUAGGGAAUCUUCCGCAAUGGGCGAAAGCCUGACGGAGCAACGCCGCGUGAGUGAAGAAGGUCUUCGGAUCGUAAAGCUCUGUUAUUAGGGAAGAACAUAUGUGUAAGUAACUGUGCACAUCUUGACGGUACCUAAUCAGAAAGCAACGGCUAACUACGUG
rnacentral:rRNA from 1 species